GAUGAAGAACGUAGCGAAAUGCGAUACGUAAUGUGAAUUGCAGAAUUCAGUGAAUCAUCGAGUCUUUGAACGCACAUUGCGCCCCCUGGUAUUCCGGGGGGCAUGCCUGUCCGAGCGUCAUUGCUGCCCAUCAAGCGCGGCUUGUGUGUUGGGCCGCCGUCCGCCUUCCCCCCCGGGGGGAGGGGGACGGGCCCGAAAGGCAGCGGCGGCACCGCGUCCGGUCCUCGAGCGUAUGGGGCUCUGUCACCCGCUCUGGAGGCCCGGCCGGCGCCCGCCGACCCCCAACCUUCUUCUAACCAGGUUGACCUCGGAUCAGGUAGGGAUACCCGCUGAACUUAAGCAUAUCAAUAAGCGGAGGA
rnacentral:misc_RNA from 1 species